rnacentral:lncRNA from 1 species
CAAUAACUUCAAACAUAUUUUUACGUCAAUGAUUAUCAAUAGGAGAAAGUCAUCGCUCCGUUAUUGGCCCUUGGACUCCCCUGGCAUCGCAUGUACAGCAUGAAGUUUUCAGCAAUGAAGUUUUCCAGAACGAGAACCAAGCCCUGAGGGAGGAGAACCAAGCCCUGAGGGAGGAGAACCAAGCCCUGAGGGAGUGGAGCCAUGCACGAGCAGCUUCGGGUGACAGCGGCUCGCUUCAAGAGCAGGUGAAGCUAUUUGGGACAACGCUGAAGAUGUUUGCUCGCACUGGGCAAUCAGGUACAACUUGCAAACAACACCUGUGGUUGUUGAUUUAAUUCCCACUGGGUCCACAUGUACGUGUAUUAGACCUAGGUAUAAA